rnacentral:rRNA from 1 species
UACGUAGGGGGCUAGCGUUGUCCGGAAUCAUUGGGCGUAAAGAGCGUGUAGGCGGCCCGGUAAGUCCGCUGUGAAAGUCGGGGGCUCAACCCUCGAAUGCCGGUGGAUACUGUCGGGCUAGAGUGCGGAAGAGGCGAGUGGAAUUCCUGGUGUAGCGGUGAAAUGCGCAGAUAUCUGGAGGAACACCGGUGGCGAAGGCGGCAUCCUGGACCGGUAUUGACGCUGAGGCGCGAAAGCCAGGGGAGCAAAGCGGG